rnacentral:rRNA from 1 species
GUGUCAGCAGCCGCGGUAAUACCUGCAGCCCGAGUGGUGGCCGUUAUUAUUGGGCCUAAAACGUCCGUAGCCGGUUUCGUAGAUGCCUGUGUAAAUCGAACGGCUUAACCGUUCGAACUGCGGGUAGACCGCGAGACUUGGGACCGGGAGAGUCACGAAGUACUCCGGGGGUAGAGGUGAAAUUCUGUAAUCCUCGGGGGACUACCGGUGGCGAAGGCGUCGUGAUAGAACGGCUCCGACGGUGAGGGACGAAGCCCUGGGGCGCAAACCGGAUUAGAUACCCCGGUAGUCC